rnacentral:lncRNA from 1 species
UUUUUAGACAUGGUGUCUCUAAGCUGCCCAGGACGGACUUGAAUUCACUCUCUGGACGAUAUAACCCUUUAAUUUGCUACCCUCCUGCUUCAGUCUCUCAAAUAGCUGGAUUUACAGGACUGUGCCACAGACUUCCAUAAAGGGAAUAGCAGAAGAUUUAACCUUAUGUCUACAACAAGAAGAAAUUAAUACCUGAUACUUUCAAAUAUUGCUACGUAUGAACGCUGUGUUAAGCCCUUUAAGUUGAUUUACUGAAAUUCAAUCACGGUAGGCACUGCCAUGAAGAGGCUAGCUAAACAGGCUCUAGGGCAAACUAUGUGGGUUUUAACCUGUGUAUUUG